AAGGUCACUGAGGUCACUGCCUCCCUAGCUUGCUGUGAAGCCAGCUCACCUCUCUUGGUUCCAAACACAGACACACCCAGCAGCCCAGGAAAGAAACCCGGAAACCAGGAGCCGCUGGGAAAAGAGGAGAGGGGCCGCUGCACGCCCUCACGUUCCGCAGUUGG
rnacentral:lncRNA from 1 species